UACGGAGGGUGCAAGCGUUAAUCGGAAUUACUGGGCGUAAAGCGCACGCAGGUGGCUGAGAAAGUCGAUUGUGAAAGCCCUGGGCUUAACCUGGGAAUUGCAGUCGAAACUACUCGGCUAGAGUAUGGGAGAGGGUAGUGGAAUUCCCGGUGUAGCGGUGAAAUGCGUAGAUAUCGGGAGGAACAUCAGUGGCGAAGGCGGCUACCUGGCCCAAUACUGACACUCAGGUGCGACGAGCGUGGGGAGCAAACAGG
rnacentral:rRNA from 1 species